rnacentral:rRNA from 1 species
AGCACGGACCAAGGAGUCUAACAUGUAUGCGAGUCAUUGAGAAUGUUAAACUCAAAGGCAUAAUGAAAGUGAAGAUCCUUUUCAGGAUUUGAGGAGAGAUCAUGGUUCUACUUGAAACUCUGUAAAGUUUUUUGAGUAUGAAUAUGCGCUUCUCCUGGACGUCUAUACUUCUGAAAGUUGGGCGUACCUAGAGCAUACACGUUGGGACCCGAAAGACGGUGAACUAUGCCUGGUCAGGACGAAGUCAGGGGAAACCCUGAUGGAGGUUCGUAGCGAUUCUGACUUGCAAAUCGAUCGUCGGAACUGGGUAUAGGGGCGAAAGACUAAUCGAACCAUCUAGUAGCUGGUUCCCUCCGAAGUUUCCCUCAGGAUAGCUGGCGCUUAUACCAGUCUCAUCCGGUAAAGCGAAUGAUUAGAGGCCUUGGGGCCGAAACGACUUCAACCUAUUCUCAAACUUUAAAUGGGUGAGAUGUCAUGCUUGCUUGAUCGAAGCUAUGACAAUGGAUGGUGAGUGCCAAGUGGGCCACUCUUGGUAAGCAGAACUGGCGCUGUGGGA